AGCACUGACUUCCGCGAGUGAAGCGUCUCUGAAAGGGGAGAAAACCAGUGCUGCUGCCACUCCUCCUCACUCUGCAGAAUCAGGUGUUCCCUUUAGGACUCUGGAUGGCAUAGAGGAAAGCAUCCCAGACUGAGGAGAGGUUCCAGCAGCUGCAAAAUGUUGGGGUAGCAAAAAGGCCCAGCUCAGUAGUGGAGGGAAGAUGCAUUACCUCAGAGGGAGUCCAAGAGGAUGCAUUGCUGCUACUUAAGACAGAUGUCAUAUGCCAACACAGUAUUCAGCAAACAUUAAAACUGACAACCAGAAAUGCUCUUUGCUAGAACUCCCAGGGGCAAGAUGGCAAUGCUGACAGAAAUGAUACUUCCGCCCCGUUGCCUCCCGCUGCCUACUCGAGCACACAUUCUGUCAUCUUCCUGCUUCCUGGAAAUUGAAAUCA